rnacentral:rRNA from 1 species
CACGUAGGGUGCGAGCGUUGUCCGGAAUUAUUGGGCGUAAAGAGCUCGUAGGCGGUUCGUCGCGUCGUCUGUGAAAUCCCGCAGCUCAACUGCGGGCUUGCAGGCGAUACGGGCAGACUUGAGUACUGCAGGGGAGACUGGAAUUCCUGGUGUAGCGGUGAAAUGCGCAGAGAUCGGGAGGAACACCCGUAGCGAAGGCGGCACUCUGGGCCGGUACUGACGCUGAGGAGCGAAAGCGUGGGGAGCAAACAGG